rnacentral:misc_RNA from 1 species
UGAACAAGAAUUAGUCUUAGUCGGAUCCAUUCUUGGUCAAGAGUUUGUUGCAACCGAGACUAAAGGUGAACUUGUCAUGAAUUUUUCUUGUUUUCGAAAAAUCCAGCCAAAAUUUGGUCUGAGAUGUGUUCGAUAUCUGACACAAGUCUCAGGAUUAAACGAUGUGGUUAUAGUGUCAGCUGUUCGAACUCCAAUUGGCUCGUUUUUGGGCUGCCUGGCUGAAGUGCCUGCUCCUCAGUUAGGGAUCAUUGCAGUCAGGGAGGCUGUUAAUAAAGCAGGCAUUGCCCCUGAAGAGGUGAAGGAACUGUAUAUGGGCAAUGUGUUGCAAGCUAUGGAGGGGCAGGCCCCUAGCAGACAGGCAGCUCUUGGUGCAGGUCUUCCCGAGAGCACACCGACGACGACAGUGAACAAAGUGUGUGCGUCGGGAAUGAAAGCCGUGAUGUUGGCUGCCCAGAGUCUCAUGUGUGGACACCAGGAUGUUAUGGUGGCUGGAGGAAUGGAAAGUAUGUCAAAUGUACCAUUUUAUGCUAAAAGGGGAACAACUCCAUAUGGAGGAUUUACAAUGCUGGAUGGCAUUGUAUAUGAUGGUCUAACAGAUGUAUAUAAUAAGUUUCACAUGGGUGUUUGUGCUGAAAACACAGCCAAGAAAUUUGGCAUUUCUCGUGAAGCCCAAGAUGAGUUUGCCAUUCGCAGCUACAAAUAUAGUCAGGAGGCAGCAAGCAAGGGCAUCUUCAAGAAGGAGAUCGUCCCCGUCACCAUUCCAAAGAAGAGAGGAGAUCCUGUAACAGUAUCUGAAGAUGAAGAGUACAAGAAAGUCAACUUUGACAAAUUUAAAUCCCUCAGACCAGUGUUUGUCAAGGAAAAUGGCACAGUGACGGCUGCCAAUGCCAGUACGUUGAACGAUGGUGCGGCUGCACUCGUGCUUAUGACUGCUCAAGCUGCCGAUAGAUUGAAAGUGAAGCCUCUUGCAAGGAUUAUUGGUUUUGCUGAUGCUGCUGUGGCACCCAUCGACUUCCCAAUUGCACCCGCUGCAGCUGUUCCCAAGAUUCUCAAAUUCACUGGGGUCAAGGCCAGCGACAUUGAUAUGUGGGAGAUCAACGAAGCGUUCAGUGUUGUGGUUCUAGCCAACGUAAAAUCUCUUGACAUUGACAUUCAGAAAGUGAACAUUUACGGUGGGGCAGUCAGCAUUGGACAUCCUAUUGGCAUGUCUGGGGCUCGCCUCACCGGUCUCAUGGCUCACAACCUGAAGCCUGGACAGAAAGGUCUGGCCUCCAUUUGUAACGGCGGCGGUGGAGCGUCGGCCAUUUUGAUAGAAGCAUUGUGAUUGGUCGGGACUAAAUUACACAACAAAUGGUGCACACCGUAAAAGGAUCUCCUGAAUAUUAAGCGAGGUGCAUCGAUUAUUUUUCAAUCAAGCAGCUACCGUGUGAGAUUUAGUAUUGUUCGACAUGUCACAACGUAUGUGUGUAUGUAUAUAUAUAAAUAUAUAUAAACUAAAUAUAUAUAUGUAUCUGUAAUAGUCAUAUAAGCUACUUUGGUUAAGCACCGACCUCACGAAUAAUCAUCCAAUAUAGGUAACAGUGACCUGUAUUUAUAAUUAAGUAGUCAUUUGUCCAAUUUUUUUUAUAUUUCUACCUCUAUACCUAGUGCAGGUUCACAGUAUUAUUACAUUAUUUAGUUGUAAAUAUUGGAAGCACUGAUCUAAAAAAAUUAUAGAUCAUUUAAAACUAUUAGAAAUUCUAUAGAUAAAUCCAGAGAAUUGUGAAACUUUAGGGAAUGCAGUUAUAAACUGUUAGAAUGGAAAAUCAUUAAUAUCAUCUAAUAUAGGUACCAAGUCGCAUGCUAUCAUUGUAUGUUGUAUGAAUCUUCAAAGUGUACUUCAAAAAUGAAAUAAAAAACCUGUAUGUGAAGCAAG